CCUACGGGUGGCUGCAGUGGGGAAUAUUGGACAAUGGGGGAAACCCUGAUCCAGCAAUGCCGCGUGAAUGAAGAAGGCCUUAGGGUUGUAAAGUUCUUUCACCUGUGAAGAUAAUGACGGUAGCAGGAGAAGAAGCCCCGGCUAACUCCGUGCCAGCAGCCGCGGUAAGACGGAGGGGGCUAGCGUUGUUCGGAAUGACUGGGCGUAAAGGGCGCGUAGGCGGUUUUUUAAGUGAGGCGUGAAAGCCCUGGGCUUAACCCAGGAGGUGCGUUUCAGACUGGAAGACUUGAGUGCGAGAGAGGAAAGUGGAAUUUCUAGUGUAGAGGUGAAAUUCGUAGAUAUUAGAAAGAACACCCGUGGCGAAGGCGGCUUUCUGGCCCGCAACUGACGCUGAGGCGCGAAAGCGUGGGGAGCAAACAGGCUUAGAUACCCCUGUAGUC
rnacentral:rRNA from 1 species